AAGCCGAUUUUGUGGACGCGAAAUCGCUCAAUUCUUUUCCUUUCCCUCCGCACUAUGUUCCUCUCUCUUGGGUACGCGCGCCUUUUUGUCGUCUCCUUCGUUUCUGACGUGGAAGAUAAACUGGUUCUUGCUUUUGGCGUUGUGACCUGUUCUUCUCGCUCUGCACCACCUGCGUUUUUGGUGGUUAUCUAUAAUUAACGUUAUGCUUGAAAUCUGUUUACUUUGGUGCCCCUUGCUUCUGCAUAUUUGCUCUUUAACCUCAACGUUAUAUCGGACAGUUUACCGCACUGGUUAGCUGUGAUCACCCAAUAAAUCUCUCUGUUUUGCUUGGGUUUCCUCCUUGUUUUUGUAGCUUCAUUUUGCUGCUAUCUUUCUGUUUGGUGGCUGAAAGGAGUAUAAAAAGGGACAACGAGCUGCAGUGAGAGAGGAAUCUUCGUAGUCCUGCUUUCGGAAAACAUAAGAAUGAGGUUUCGGGAGCUAUCUAUUUGGCAUGAAUGAAGUUGUUGCCGAACAGACAGUUGAAGCUAACAAUGUAGCUAAUAUUAAGAACCCCUCUUUGGGAUGGAUGAUAGGAUUUCUUUUUUCUCUUCGUAAGAUUAUGAUCUUAGACUUCAAACUGACAUAUCCAAGUGGGGCACUGCAAUUGCUCACCUUAUCAACAAUUUCCACAUGCCACAAGGAGCUAAGCUAGAAAAGAAAGAAUAUUAUCCAUUUAGUAAAUUUUGUCAGCAUUAAUACAAAUGGUAUGAUUACAAUUUUAUCGUUUCUUUCUAAUCGAUCGCUACAGGAAACAAGUAAAAGCUCUGGGAAAGUUCUAACCUUCAGCUUCCUAUGGGGUUUCUUCCAAUGGUUUUUCACUGCUGGGGAUGACUGUGGAUUUGCAUGUUUCCAACGUUUGGUCUUAAAGCCUAUGAGAACAGCCUACAAUCUUGACGUAAUGGGAGGACUUCGCUCAGAUUGUCGGAAGCACCCUAGCUGCACAGGCUGCUGAAUAUCCAGUAAUUGUAGCAAAACGAGUUGCACGAACCAACUAUGCCGGUAUGGAAAGAAUAGAGCUUUCUUUGUACCCGUUGAGAACUGCUAUGAAUUCUUUACUAACAAAAUUUAAACAAUAUGGGAUUAUUAUUGUCGGCAAGGUACAACUUGGUCAUACUGAUAAAUUCACCAUAUUCCUAAGUUGGAGAACCUAUGAACUGGUAUGAAAUAAAUAUUAAUGUAAUCGAGUUUUAUAUUUCAUUAGUUAGUUCAUGUGAAUGAAACAUAUGCGGAAAGACAUACAAUUAGCAAGCUAUACGUUCAAACUCGCAUUUUCAGUUAAAUAACAAUUUGACCAUAUGUAUCCUGAACUCCAUACAACGAUCUUAUCUCAUUCUAAAUAUCAAGAAAAUGUUACUGUUGAAAAGAUAUUUGAAACAUGAAAUCUAAAACAUUUCAGCUUGGUUUUGCUUUGUAUAUUUAGAUGUGCAAAUGAAAUAGAGUUUAUCAAAAUAAUUCAAUCUGUUAAAAAAUUGGAAAUAUUCUGAAAAAACAAACUUAAUGUCGCAGACGAUAUUGCUACCCAAAUGGGUAAGUUUAAUAAGACACUAAUUUUACAUCACGGACCAAACUUCAUGUACAUUUUAAGCUUCUCACAAGAUCUCUCCAAUGAGCCAAUCGAGACGAUACCUCAAAUAACAAAGCUUCAGAAUGAUUACCUGAAACUCAUACAUUUUAAUUUCACAGAUUAACCAUACGACAUACUAGAAGUUAUCAGGUUCGGGCCCGGGCUCAGAACGGGCCAUUCCUCACUAGUACUAUUUAGAAGCGGGAGUGAAGCUCCUCUUCGGCGUCCUGCUCUCGGGUGUAAUUACAUUUAUACCCUUAGGUUUUCUUAUUACCCACAUUUUCUUAGGCCCAUUUAUGUAAAAUUAUUUUGCUCUUGGGCGGUGGCCUACCAGCCCUCCAUCAUUUGCUCUCUGUUUCUCUCUGUUGCUGGUCAACAUUUUUGUCCGCCGAAGCACCGAGUGUCUCGUGUUGCUCAUGAGUCAUGACCUCAUCCGCUCUUUCUUAGUUCUCCUCUUCCCUUCUGCUCUGUCUUCGCAAAACAGCCCUAAGAGGCGGAGGAAUAAGCAAAGUGCUUGUUUCAUCGUCCUCUUGUUUUUCAUCUGAUUCCGAUGUCUUUCUGCAAAUAGCAAAUACGACCUUGAAGCUCUUCAUAUUAAUAUAACAUUUAGAUGAAUUUUAGGGUUUCGAAUAUCGAAUUUUAAUUGUUUUUGUUUGUCGUCUCCGAAUAUUGAUUAGUUGUUAAAGGUACCGUUGAUUGGAGACUCAGAGAUACUGAAGAGUAGUUUAUUGCUUAGUUCGCUUCGGAUGGGUUUUAUGGAAAUCAUUGAAUGCAUAUGAACAAGCACCGUACUUCAAAUGGGUACUUGUGAUGAGUCUGUUUGUAUAUGCCCAAAUAGCUUGAUGGUGCUAACAGUAUUUCACUAAGAGCAGUUGCUUGUAUCCUGUCUUGGGAGUUUUUAAUCAGCAUGUGAAAUGAAUAAGGAGAAUGUCAGGUAACCAAAGCGGCUGCCAGGUUUUCCUGAUACGGUUUCAUUGGGCAGUGGAAUUUUAAAUUGAUUCUGACCUUGGAUCGCGAUUGAUUCAGAAUUUAAAAUUAUCAAAUUUUAUUUUUAUUAGGAUAUUGAAUCUUGAGACCGUGUUCUUUGUUGCUAUUGGAUUUGCCUUCCCUGUAUGCUAAGAAUAUGGAUGAUGAAUGAAGUAAAAUAUCUUAUGGAAAAAAUAUGAUCUGGGGAGAGAUUGGGAGGAAACUUUCAAUUUCAGAGUAGGACGACAAAAAUGGUAUACUUGGGAUUCCCUAUUAUUUGCUCUCAAAGGUUGCCGUUUAACUGGCUUCUAUAGGCGAGUUUAUCCAGUAUCCACCGAAACCACUGCAAAAUUAGAAAAUAGAAAGCUUACUUUCCCAAAGUUGCUUAGUGUUGCAAGUUUAAUCAGCUUUUUCGAUAAAGUAUCCAAACAGAGAUAGUUUUGUUGUUUGCUACACAUUUGCGUGACAAUAUUCUCUCACAGAGCUGUUAGCAAAGCAGUCUGUUAAUGCGCAGAUCAUUUAUUAGGUCGCUAUCACUGUAGAAGAAAACAUAAGUUGUGAAGAACUUCUCCUGGUAGGAAGACGGAUAUAGAACAGAGUGAAGAUACAUACACAAGUAUAGUGAGAACAAAACCUCGAAGAAUUGGCUCAGCCAUUCCAUAUAGAUGACAGGAGAGUACAGAAGUUUUACUUAUAGAGAACUCAUUUUAACUCUUUGCUAUUGGUUUAUUGGAAAAUAUUUUAGGUAUAAGUUUGAGCAUUGAAGUAUAUAAGAUAUUAAUCUAAGAGGACAAUGCAGUAUUAACACCCAUAAAAAGAUGCAUUUCGCUUGGUCUUACUGUGCCUUCCAGUAUAUGAGAAAUUAAUCUGACUACAGCAUCUCAACUUGAAGGUUUAGAAACUAAGAUUCGGAAUGGAAGUUACAUAAUGUGUUCGCCUGUGUAGCAGUAUUAGAUAACACGUGAAGAUUGAAGUACCAACGCCGUGUCUACAGUAUACCAAGUAAAACACUAAAUACAACCACAUCCAUGAAGUGAACAUUUUUUUGGAAUUAAUAUUAACUAAAUCUUGAAAGAUAUUCUGAAAACCACAUGCGAUUAAUUCAGUUCAUAACUUUCUGUUAUUCCUUCUUGUUUAUUUGUUCUACUUUUUUCUAUUUUUAUUUGAGGAGGGGGAUCGUUAUUGAUUAUAUGCAUUUUGCGAGGAUUUUCUAAUAUUUCAUUCGUUAGAACCUGAGGGCUUGUCAUUUGGGUUGAUGUGAAUUACAUUUAUGCCCUUUAGUUUUUUUAUUAACUGCGGCGCCCUAUGCCCUUUAAUGUAAAUUUAGUUUGUUCUUGGGCAGUGGACGACUAGCCAUACUUUCUUCUCUUUCCAUCGAUUCUCCCAUGGUUAAUAGGUAAAUAACAGUGAGAAUAACAAUUGUAUAGACAGGAUAUUAACACUAUUCCACCCUCAUAGUGUCUGUGUUUUUGUUUACAACGGUGUCCGGUGAAUGAGAUUCUCAAAAGCUAGCUCUUUGAACAGGUUGCUGUCUUUUUGGUUGCUUUCUGAAUUAUUCUCGACUCUUGUUUGAUGUUGUUGUGCAAAGUUAUAGCUUUCAGAUAAUGGUUGCAGAUGAAUUACUUUAAUAGGAUGGUUUGCCUGAUUUUAUGGAUGUGCCCUUAGCCAAUUGCUAAAUAUUAUUGACUUAACUAAGCAAUUGCACUCUAAAUUUUAGUUUCUUCGUGUUUUUUUCCUUGAAAUUGGUAUGUUGAAUCUUGAUUUUUCUGAGUUCGUUAAGUAGUUUUUAGUUCUGUAUUUUUGUUCUUUAUAGCUUGUUCAAUAUAUAUUAUCUGCUGUGGAGUCUAGAAGCUUUUGAAGCAACUGGAGUGACACUCCUCUUUGAUUAGUUAUUCUGUGAAAACAGCUUUCCAGUUUUGAGUAAACUUUGGCAAUCUGAAAUGCUGAAAUUAUCAUAUGCAUAUAUAUGAAUAGACUUAUUCUAGGGAUGAGAGUCUGGUUCGCUUCUCUUAUUUGGAGCUCUCAAUUGAGCUGAUGGUGACUCCCAACUUUUUCUUGGAGGUUCAAGCGGAUGACUAAAUUGCAUUACAUUCCGAAAUGAACUACAUGAUUCUCGCGAACUACAUCAGAUUCUUUAGAUAAAUGAUUACUAGCUUUUAGAGUGGAUUUUUCCUUGGCUUUAUUUAUUGUCGCUAUUGUUGUCUUAGUCAACAAGAUGGGGAACUUGUUAAUAGCCACUAUUUUCCUCUUACUGAUCAUUUUGCAUCUGCAUGGCCUCGGGCCCCAAUUUUGUUGUCAAGACUUACCGAUAGUCUAAGUUUAGCCAACUCCAUUCUUUUUCAUUUGUUUCAAGUUUUCCUUUAUUCUGGUCUUUUAAUAGAAGCGCCCCUACAAAUUAUUACAGACAAUCUUCCCAGUGAAUGACCGUACCCCAAAUUGACACAGGAGAAUAAAUAGAAUGUAGUAGGACGCUUGAGAAAAUCACUUUCGUACUGCAACGUCAAACCCCUAGCAUACCUGGUGAGUCACCAUUAAUAAUUGACUUAGAAAGGUGAAUGUCUUGGCUAGAAAAGGCGCAGUGGAUAAAUAUUUAGUGAACGAAAUAUUCUUAUUGAAGAUAAAGAUAGAGGGACUUGAACCCUGCAAUUUGAAUAUAAGCUUGUGUUGGCAGGCAAGCUGCAUGCUUCUUUAUCUAGCUGAUUGUGUUUGUAAUAGUCUUCUAUGUAUCCUUCCAAAUAUAAUCUGAUGUUCUCAAAGGGACACUAUUUGUAAUAGUGUUGACCAACCAUAAAAUAAUAUUUUUUCAGGAUCAUAAAUUCCUUUUAGGAUCAUAUGAGGGACGUGUUUGCAUCAUAUGUUGCAGAGUUUAUUGUGGUGCUUUAAAUUCUUUUUAUUUCUUGUGCAUUUCGUCUGUUUAAAUAAAUCUGCUGACACUUCCUCAAUGCAUUGCUUUCUCUCAACAAAUAUUAAUUUUUUUGCUUUUGUUGUUGUGUCACUGAUCUACUCUGAGUAAUUCCUGCAGAAAUUAAAAUCGUUUUGAGAACUCUACAAGUAUAAUUUUUUUUUUCAAAUGGCCACGCAGAUUCUCCUCAACCGUCAAAGAAAGAUUGAUGUACAGGGAUUAUUUAGAGAUAUUCCUGAUCUUAAUUCAAGGAGGAGACAUUUGAGUAAGAGGCUGAAUAUUUUAAGAGACCAAUUGAUCAAGCGAUCACAAGGAGAAGAAUUGUUAAAAUUCAUUGCCAUCAAACGACAUAAGCUAUAAUAGCUCCUUUAUCUAACCCUUCUUGCAAGGAUCUGAUUGGUUCCACCUAUUGAUACCAUACCACUUCGUAAGCGCAACAUCAGAAGUAGAAAAGCGGACAAGCUUAGACUUACCAAUUAUUCUCUCAAGAAUCUGGUAUCUUCUUGCUGAAUUAAGAAAACGAAAAAGAGAUCCAAUAUAUUCUAUUAUUGUUAGGUUCGCCGGUCUCUUUUUUCCUUCCUUGUGCAAUUUUUAUUUUUUUGCUUUUGCUUUCUGCUUUCUUAUUUUUGGGUCGCGUUGAUUGAUCUCUUUGGAGAUUCAAAAUCAAGUUGGUCCAUGGAUUGGUAGAAUCUUUUCAUAGGCGUGUGACUUUGGAGAAUAUUGAAACAAGGAUAAUUUGCCGAGCAUUUGUCUUUCAUUUUUCCAACGCAGAGCUUGAUGUUUAGGGACAUGCUCGAGUGCCGGCUUUGCUUUUGGAGGAAUCAAAAAAGCGUUUGAGCCUUCCAACCUGAAUUUCUGUCUCUAACCUUUAGUUAUUUAUGUUGAGGAAACCUCUUGAUUAUUAGCCAAGUAAGGAGUUAGAAUGAACCCGAUGACCAAAAUUUCAUUUUUUAUCCGAGAAGCUCUAUCAUCCAAAAUAUAACUGCCAGAAAUGCUUUUUUGAGAAAAAACUACCCGAAAUAUUUUAAUAUACGCAUUCAUCUCAAUUUAAAAACUUUCCUCCAACCAGUGCACAUUGAUCGAAAACAUUCUUCUCUUAUUCUAGAUUUGUUGGCUGGCUCUACAGUGACAUUGAUUUGACGCUACUUUGACCUCAUGGAAAUGAACAUUCUUUACAUAUAUAUUUGUUCCUGUUUUGGCCCUCCCUCCUUGUGGCAUGGGAGACAGAUUCAUCACGGUGGAAGCUUUUCCAGGUUUGAUGGUAAACAAUACCUAGCAUAUUGAAACUUGUGAAUCACUACUCUAGCAAGUUGAAUUCAGUAUAGAUGUUUAGUCAUUUGACAUUAAGGACUAUCUUGUUGAACAAAUUAUUUUAUGUUACUUUUUGGUAGUUAACUUUCCUAAUGCGUGAUUAUGUCUUAAGUAAAUAGAGUUCAGUUAGUUUAAUUUGGUUGAACAAGUUGUGUUUCACUGUUUUGUGAGUAGUUUUUUGCAUCAAUAUAAAAGGGGUAGGACGAAAGCAUACCUCGCCGAAGGAAGGAUUAUACUAAACGUAAUAUCCAGGUCAAAAGUAUUACUUGACUCUCGCAUGCCCUGCUCGAAAAAAAUUCCGUUCUUCCUCUUCUUCCCUGAGGUCUGUUUUAAAUUUAAAAAUGUCAAUAUUUACUCUAUGAAGGUCAAUGUCUUGUUAAAAGUUGGGAGUGUAGUUUGUUUGAGUUGCAAAGUUUAAAUCUUCUGUGGUUCUCUUAUGCAGGAAUUAGUUGUAUUUGUUAGACCUGGUUUUUUCGGGAAAGGUGUACAAUAUAUCACUUGUUAGCAUCUCUUACAUGUGUAUACCUGGUUCGUUACACUUUGCUGCAUACCUCGAGGAUGUAUAUUAAUUUUAUUUCCGAAUGCGAAGAAACUAUCUUGUGUAUAUACAGUUUUUAUAGAUUGUUAUAGAUUAACUUCUACUAUUCUAUUAAGGUUCUUUAGAA